rnacentral:rRNA from 1 species
CUACGGGGUGCAGCAGUGGGGGAUCUUGCGCAAUGGGCGAAAGCCUGACGCAGCGACGCCGCGUGGGGGAUGACGGCCUUCGGGUUGUAAACCCCUGUCGGGUGGAACGAACACGCCUGGUGCGAAUACCACCGGGCCUUGACGGUACCACCGAAGGAAGCCCCGGCUAACUACGUGCCAGCAGCCGCGGUAAUACGUAGGGGGCGAGCGUUGUUCGGAUUUACUGGGCGUAAAGAGCGCGUAGGCGGCCGGAUAAGUCCGUUGUGAAAUCCCCCGGCUCAACCGGGGACCCGCUUCGGGAACUGGCCGGCUUGAGUCGCGGAGAGGAGAGCGGAAUUCCCAGUGUAGCGGUGGAAUGCGUAGAUAUUGGGAGGAACACCGGUGGCGAAGGCGGCUCUCUGGACGCGUACUGACGCUGAGGCGCGAAAGCUAGGGGAGCAAACGGGAUUAGAUACCCGAGUAGUC